AUUAUGGAGAGUUUGAUCCUGGCUCAGGACGAACGCUGGCGGCAUGCCUAAUACAUGCAAGUCGAGCGAACGUUUUAAGAAGCUUGCUUCUUAAAACGUUAGCGG
rnacentral:rRNA from 1 species